CCUGGUGGCUCAGAUGGUAAAGCUUCUGCCUGCAAUGCGGGAGACCCGGGUUCGAUCCCUGGGUCAGGA
rnacentral:tRNA from 1 species